CGGGAAGCGGGGCNCCUUCGGACCUCNGCUAUUGGAUGAGCCUNGUCGGAUUAGCUAGUUGGUGGGGUAAUGGCCUACCAAGGCGNNGAUCCGUAGCUGGUCUGAGAGGAUGAUCAGCNACACUGGGACUGAGACACGGCCCAGACUCCUACGGGAGGCAGCAGUGGGGAAUAUUGCGCAAUGGGGGAAACCCUGACGCAGCCAUGCCGCGUGUGUGAAGAAGGCCUUAGGGUUGUAAAGCACUUUCAAUGGGGACAAAACGCCUGUAGUUAAUAGCUGCAGGACUUGAUGUUACCUAUAGAAGAAG
rnacentral:rRNA from 1 species